rnacentral:rRNA from 1 species
CCCUUAGAUGCUCUGGGCCGCACGCGCGCUACACUGGUCGAUGCAACGAGUUUCUUUCCUUGGCCGACAGGCCUGGGCAAUCUUUGAACGUCGAUCGUGAUCGGGAUAGAUUCUUGUAAUUUUUGAUCUUAAACGAGGAAUUCCUAGUAAACGCAAGUCAUCAGCUUGCAUUGAUUACGUCCCUGCCCUUUGUACACACCGCCCGUCGCACCUACCGAUUGAAUGGUCCGGUGAAAUCUCCGGACUGGCGUGAGUCGGAGCAAUCUGACAAACACCGGAAAGUUGAUUAAACCUUACCAUUUAGAGGAAGGUGAAGUCGUAACA